UCGCCCCGCACCCGGCACCCGAGGUUACCGCCCCGGCGGCGAGGCGAGCGCGCUGCGCACACACUACGCCUCUUAAAGGCUCCGCUAGAGGUUGAGGAUGGAGCCGAAGACUUAAGUCUUCUCGCAACUUGGCUUUGCCACUAAAUGCGCGGCGUCUCGCGCUCCACCCGGGACUCCCCGGAGCAUUAUGUAGAGCCCACGAUGCUAAAGACGGAUAACGCUUCCCUCUUCUUUGUAGAGGGGUACGCAGCGGAGGUGGCAAGGUGCCGGGAUCUGAGCUUGCAAAAGAAAGAUUUGACUAGAUCCGUGUGGUGGCAAAUCCUUUGCUUAAUGAACUCUCAUCACUUGCUCCGUUUGGUAGCUCCUUUUUGUUUGUUUGUUUUAUAGGAAAAGAAGCCGUUCAAUAUCUGCCUUUUUCUUUGGAGGGUUAAUAUUUUAUAGAUUUGUGGCCUGACAUUUUAAUUGCUCAAAUGAAGCAUCUCGGAUGCUGAGAAGCACAAGUAGACUGCACCUCAUUGUCAUCACGCAAUUAAAAUAAAUUCCCCUCAACUUUAUCCUCUCUCUUUGGUUUUAGCUAACUGGCCAGCCAGUGACCUGUCACACACCCGGUCAUGAAAAGAGGGAGAAAGACCUUUCUGUCUGCUGAUGGACAGGCGUAGGCAGCCGCUCAUCCUCGCCUGUGCACACCCUCUGUACACACAUGUAAACGCACAUGUAUCAGAUGCACAUUUGUCAAUGUACACAGACAAAGACGUCCAAGACGAUGCUUCUAGGUCACAGAACAGUUGAAUACGGACUUCAUUGUCCAAAUUCUCUUUAAACAUCCAUGUAGUCAUUAAAACACACCCAGAGAGCCUGCUUCAAAUUGGCAAUAAUACCAGCACAACUCACAAGAACCACAAACAAGCUAUAGUCUUCCUCCAAAGAGUCGCUGCAGAAAAAAACAACCCCACAGCCCAUGACAUUCUGCUCACAAUGCUCAAACCAUGGACAUUGCUGUGUCUUUGAAUGUGUGCCUGAGUUUUAAACGUCAAAUAUAUAGAACCAGGACACAUUAUAUUCCACUGGUUUGAUUAGGACCAGGUAGUUGAUUGUGAGGAUUCCACAUUUGUAUGAGAAAUUUGUGCUUAAUAGGGAAUACUUUGCACCAAGCCAAAACUAAAUCCAUAGGUCAAACAGGUUUACCAACAAUGAAACUAUUUUUUACACAAAAGAUGCUGAGCUACUGGGGGAAAAAAAAGAGGACACUACAAAGAGUAAAUUGACAACUUCUGAAAAGCAUCCUUGACAGCACAAAAAUUUGGCAAUAUAAAGUGACUUUAAUAAAAUAAACCGGACGUGUAAUUGACAUGGGUAGACUGCACUUUCGGGCAGUUUCUUUUCCACAUACAGGCAGAGUGUGAGAUGAGGAGCGUAUGAAGAUGUAGGGGAGACAGAAGCUGGUUUUUCGGCAAGGAAAAAAAUGAUAUAUAUUAUUUAAGAAGUUCUCCUUAACCUUCUCCUUCUGUACUGAAAUCACACAUUACACCAAAGUGGCAGGUACUGUGAUUAUUUGAAUGUUUUAAGAAAUAAGAAGGUAGAGCAGGUACUUGACUAUCAUAAACCUGGUGUGUUAAAUAAGGUGGCCACAGAGUAAAGCCAAGCUGAGCAUUUCUGGCUGAUUAGAGAUACCACAUAACUUUCUCCUACAGAGAACAAGAAGGAAAGAUGGAAAAUAAAUCAUUUCAGAGAAGUCUGUUUUUUUUUCUUUUAAUUUCUCUGAUUUGGGGAAUUAUUUGAUGCUGCAAAUAUCAGAUUAUAGAGGCAAGCUCAGCAUAUAGUGAGACUGAGGUUGACACAGGAAAUCUAAUAGGUAUUCCCACCUCGACUUAAUAGAUGAACAUAAUUGAUUAUAGAGAAAUGUUAAUCUUGCCUCUCCAGUGCAGCCAUUUUCAUGGCAAGCUUACUUUUUGCACACACACGAAGAUGAUGUCUGAGGAGGAGAAACUUCCUAUAUAUACACACACAUAUAUAUAUGGGUGAAGGCUGUAAUUUCUUUAGAUAGUAAAAUGAAGGAUUUCCCUCUUGCAGAACUGCAGCCAGCUAGACACAUGGCCACACAGCUUCUAUCAAGUCCGGGACGCUUCACUUUGUAUUUUAAGGUUGAUUUAGCUAAAGAAAUGCUGUUUAGAAGGAGAAGAAAAAAAUCACCAUAUGAAUUGUAGUUAAUUUAAUGAGUGGACGAAGAGACAGGACAGCCAGACUGAGGGGUUAAAAAAAAAAAAGCAAAAAUAUUUUUUAAAUGUCCUUUUCAAAGAUGCUCGGGUGUCUUAACUCUAAGAUUUAAAUGUCCUGACUAAAAGAUACAUAUCUGCAUAUUAUUAUUUAAAAAACUCAACCGAGCCUUUUACUACAAAUGUAAAUUUAUUUUAAUGAGAAUUGUGACAAGCUUUAUCUGACUGGUCAAAGUUAGGAAAAAACAUUUGUCUUAAUCUGAAAAAAAAAAAAAGUCCCCAACUCCCAGGAAUAUGGUUUCCUUGCAGAAAGUGGUUGGCUGGUCUGUGAUUCUUUACAGAUUAAAUCACAAUAUGAAUACAGACCCCAGCAAUGCCGAAUUUAACUCUGAGUUCAGUAGAAUCCAGGAUCCAUUGAAUUUCUCCUUCCCCUCAAUCUAGUCGUGUGUGUUUUUCUCUUCCACCACACUGGAGCUCCGUGAAUAGGGAAGGGGCUUCCAUUGUAUCCCACUGAACUUCCAAGUCAAUGCAAUUUUUAACCACUGGCUUGUGGUACUUUGAAAAUCACCAGGGGCUGUCAGAGUUGGGUCCUCUGAAAAAUUUACAGUGCUAAAUCAGAGCAUAUGCUGGGAGGGGAAAAAAUUGCUUAAGAUUGGAGCAAGUACAGUAUCCGUCUGCCCCCUAGUGUAAGAGUCCUCGCUGCCUAAAAUCCAACUUUAUAAGAAAAGGAGCCCUUAAAGGGAAACGACUUGGGGCUCACGUAGGCAUAGGAGAAUGAAACUUCUGUACAUUUUAAUCUGAAUAAUUCUUCAGGAUUUAAAAUUAUUUGGCUGUGGCUUGGUUGGACUACACUGGAAUCUCGCCGCCUCUACGUUUCUCGAGUCACUGGUGAAGAGGUGAUUUUUUUUUUUUUUGAACUGGGUUUAUGUGCGUCCCCCUCACCCCUCCUCUCUUUUUCUUUCUGCCUCUGUCGUCUCUCUCACUGGCUUUUUAAAAAUGAGGAACCGUUCCAUGAACAUUUUGCACACAGCACAGAAUUGCUUCUAAAGUCAGCCCGGCGCGGUUGCAAUAGACAGCAAAAAGGUAAACCGUUUGCCUGAAAUCCGCACGCCAGCUCCACCACCCCGCCCGAUGAAGCGAAGAAACACAAAGAAUGAAAAUAUCCCUCCCAGAAGAGCUGGCUGCCAACCGUGGUGGGGUUGAGGAGACAGGCCCAGUUUCUCCUGUGAUCAGAAUGUCUGUGUGCAUGAUUUUAAGCCAGAUCACCCCAAAUACCACUGGUAGACGGAUAAAUUGGAAAUAACCACAGGUAUGGUGGUGCACACCUUCAAUUCCAGCAUUCAAGAGGCAGAGACAGGCAGAUCUCUGUUCUAUAACAGAAUCAAGAAGGUAUGGACACCUACCUGUGGGCUGAGGCUUGGGAGACAUUGUUUCAGGUUCCUGCUGAAGCCAGAGUUCUGGAAUGGACAGCUGUUCAAGGAAAUGAAGGCCAUAGGAAGACACACUUAAAAAUACACGCUUGGAAGAAAACUGUUGAGAGUGUCAUCUACCGCGUGGGCGUCUCUCCACCGUCCUCCCCUUCUGUAAACACCAGCUGAAGCUGCGACCUGGGAGUUCCUGAGCUCUGGAGAAGAUUUGCCAAAGAGACUUACUUCUAAGGAAGCCAGCGAUCUCAUAAGAAUGAUCAGCAGGGUAAAUCAAGUCAAAAGAUGUAGAUGCUCCACACUCUCCAGCACCAGAUGUGUGGAGAAGAACAAAGCGGCAAUAUCCCCAACUCCAUCUUUGAGGUCCUGCCAUGACAUUUCGGCUUAAAUAGAAGGCAGGAAUUGUGCACGACUGGUCCUGGUCAAGACGUGGUCCUGCCUGUGGUCAUUAUUUUGGCUCCAGUUUCUCCUAUAAGGUGGUCUGCAAAGUAGUUUGAACUAUGUGAAGUCUCUUCAGGGAAGACAUGCUCCUUGUCUGGUUGAUACCGGGCUAUUAGCCUUUUUCUUCUCCCAGCAUAAGAUUCCUGGAGAAUUUUCAGUUACUUGGGAUGCGCUGUCUCAAGAGUUUGACAGCCAAAGAAGUGGCAAGGGUGGGCUUAGAAUGUCUUCAUUGUACCCCCACCACUAGGUCACACGCUGCACUGAUGCACGGGGGCAUUUCCUCGUUUGUGGCUCUGGCCUGGCAUCAGUGUCCUACUUACCCGCCUUGUCUAUGGGACAAUGCUGUGUUAUUGUUUGAAUCUGGAGUGUCCUCCAAAGGCCCAUGUUGGAGAUGGCUUGUCCUUCAGCUAAUGCGGUUAUUGUGAAGUUGUGGGGCACUUAAGAGGUGGGGUCUACUGUCAGGAAGCUAGGUCAUUUGGAGUCUUGCCUUGGAAGGGGAUACUCAGACCCCGCAUCUCUCUUUGUUUUUAGAUGCUGUAUGUGUUUUUCCUCUGUCUCAUCUUCCUGCCAGGAUGUUCUCUGUUGUAGAAAGCCCAAAGCAACAAGAUCACAUCAUGAUGGACAGAUGCCACUUUCACUGUAAGCCAGGAUAAACAUUCUUUCUUCAAAGUUAAUUUUCUCAAUAUCUAAAAAAUGCAUUCAUUUAAUUAAUUUUUUAGAGUAGUUAAAUGCUGAGUAACGGGGGCCCUUGCUAUCAGAAGACAGUGCUAAGUGUGUCCCAUUGAUUUCAACAAGCUAAAAAUCCACACACGAGCUUAAUCAUUUCUUCCAGCCCAGCAUAAAGAGAAAGCAUGACCCUAGACGUGGAGUGAAUGGAGUGUGCACAUUCCUACGAGUUCACUGUGGCCCCGGUGGGGAUUGAGCAGGCUCCAAGCACUAAAUAACCCUAAUGAUAUCAGGUAGGGGCUCACCGGGGAGCUGUUGGAGAGUUUGUCAGAGCAUAUUAAAAUACAAUACAUCCCCAUAAUCCAAAAUGGAACAUCAGUCCAUCUGUCCAUACAUUCUUUUCUGAUAUUAAAUUAGUCCAGGGGCUUUUCGAAAUUACAUCAUCUACUCAGGCCCCCUUCUUUAGUGAAUCAAAAUGUGGUGAGAAUGGAGGGAAAAUCAGAAUAAUGCACACUGGUGGAAGUUCCAUAAUUGAAAUCAUUAUUGCUUCAGACACCAUUGCUUUAAUCAGCGGAAUCAUAAAUCAAUGCUUCUCACAUGUGAAGGUUGAAAAAUAAAGUGAUGUUAAACAAAUUGGUCCUCUUAAGAGGCAUGAUGCAAUUGGAAACCACUGGAAAUGGAUAAAAAAGUGCUUUCUGAAGGGAUACAUCGCUCUAGCAUUUUAUCUUCCACUUAAUUAAAAAAAAUAUAUUACCUGGUCCUUUCUUAGAAAUUACAUAUUGGAGGUCUAUAAUGGCUGAGCCUUUAACCCAUUAAAAAAAUUUACUCCCAGGAACAGUUAAUAUUUGACGUUUAAUUGCUUUUACUUAUUGGAGAAGAAAAUAUGUAUCUUUCCUUCCUCUCUUGAUUGACUUUUUCAAAAAUCACCUUGUGAGCUACGAAGAUGGAAAGGAGAAAUUGAUCUUAAGAAAUACUCAGUACAGACACAUGUAAAUGCAUACCCAUAUAGAUAGAUACAGCUUCUCCUGGGAGAGGAGCUUGUAUUUCUCUCCACACAACUGUGUUAGGUAGGUGUUACUAUCUCUAGUUAACAGAUCUGGUGCAGAGGUCUAGAGAGUCUGUGUACUUGCACAGGGUUACUCAGGUAGUAAAUCAUGGGAGUCCUUAUUUCUUCCACCAUGACCAAGUUGCAUGCUUCUACACAUACUUUUUGAAAGGUGUAGAGAGAUCAGUGGAACCACGACAGAAUGCCAUGCUGGAGCAGCUAGUUCUCACAAGCUAUAAUCAGCACCUGAUUCUGGGACUUUCACCACCUUAGGUAGAAACCUAAUGAGGACUUGGGCCAUUUCUGCAAGUCCUUCAUGGUGAUGAACCUAAAAGAGCCACCCAAGAACUGUGUCACCCAUAUUAACUUGGAAGAGCUUCCAAUCAGAAUUUUGGUGUCGAUGAACAGGAAGGCUGGGCUUCUUCUAGAACGGUGCCUGUGUAGGGCUCAUGUUAGCAGGACAAUGGUGUACAAAGGAGGAAAGAAGCCGUUUUCUUGAUUUCCACAAGUCAGAAGUUUUCCAUUUCUGCAUGGUCUAGCUUUCCUCCCUUUCCAGACAAUAAAUCCGGCACUGAAGACCAAAGUGCCUUUGCUUUCUCCUCUCUCUCCAUCAUCUUCCCACAAAGCCAGGUAUUAGUGAAGGCUCUGGAAAUGCUGCACAAAGCAACUGCUUCUCCAGAUCAUCCCUUCGGAGCUCAGGAGCUGUUUCAGUUUUGGAGACAUGGCUUUGAAUAAGACUAGGCCAUUGUUCAGAGGGACCUGAUUUUUCUCAAAAGGGAGCGGACAGUAAACUGGUAAGUUUAUAAGAUGUGGUUUUAGGGUAAAUGAACUAUCCACCCUCCACAUCCCUUCAACCAGAUCCAAAUUCUUUCAGUAUUUUUCUCUAAAAUCUGUAGCACUAUAAUUAUUUACAUAGCAUUUGCAUUGUAUUAAGUAUUACAAGCGAUCUACAAAUGAUUAAUGUGCACGCAAGCAUAUGCAUACAUUAUAUCAAGUUCCAUACCAUGUAGGAGAAGGGACUUGAACAUUAUGAGAUUUCAUGGUACUUGGGGGAGGGAAUGUUUUUCUGAAAAAGGGGGUAGUUGGGCGCAGCCACCUAUGAGUCAUUUGUGUGGCAUUGCAUGAACAUGAGUUAGUGCCCAGAGGUAGCUGUGGCUCUGCCUUUAUUAUUUGUUAGGUAUGUGAAUGAAUCAAGGUUAAGAAAGGUCAUCUUAGUUACAAAGAUCACCUAGUGAGUGACUCAUUAGACCUGGGAAGAACAAUCCUUCAAGUCAAGUGUUGGAAUAGAUUUGCCCAGUGAGAGUCCAGUUGCAAGACCUGACUCUGCUCUGUCUAGGCAGCUGGAUGACCUUGGGCAGGUCACCUGAUUGCUCCCACCCAAAGCAUCUUCAUCAAAAUAGGAAGCAAGUUUUCCUCUUUCUUAGGAAUUUGAGUAUUGAGGUACUGUUAUCUGGAAGUUCUUUAUAUACUGCCAAAUGGUGCAAAUAUUUUAGAACUUUGGUUUUCACUUUAUUUUAAAUUUCAUUUCUUGAUACAGUCUUGUGUGGUCCAUGCUGGCCUAAAUUCACUAAACAGCAGGGGAUGGCCUUGAACUUCUGGUCCCCAUGAAUCUGCCUCUCAAGUGCUGGAAUUAUAGGUGUGUGCCACCAGGUUCAUGUAUGCAGUGCUGGGGCUUGAACCCAGGAUUUGGCGCAUUCUGGGCACAUACUUUUCCAACUUUUCCCAACUAAGCUAUAUCCUGCAACUCUGAGAUCUGGUUAUUGUGGCAACUGGUGUUCUUACACAGGAUUUACCUCAGGCAUGUGCCAUAAGCCACAUCCACAGCUGCAGCAACUAUGUGGUCUUUCAUCCUCCCUUUUCUCUCUUCCUAGUCUUCUUAGUUCCCUAUCUUAUUCCUGCCUCUACUGAAAGCCCAGCAUCCUGACAGUGCCCUCUCUCAGAGCCAGCUUCGGUCAAGGUAGACUCACCGUCCUGAGGUCCUUGUCAACUUCUUAGGAGUUUCUCACUUGUUGAUACAGUGGACUGGAGGUAGAUUUCAAAUAGUGAUUGUUUGAUACCAAAUCUUCUGGGGUCAGGUUAUCCAAACUUCUACAUAUAAAGGCAGAAUCCUUGCCUAAAUUUCUGAGUGAACACUUCCCUGGAAACCAGACUUUGACCUGAUUACCUGUCUUUAGCUUCCCCUCCACUGCAUUCCAGUACAGUGGCGCAUACCAUUUCCUUGUGUAGCCGCUUGGAUUAUUUUUAAUUGAUCCUUAAUAUAUAUGUUUCCCCCUCCCCCCACUACUGAGGCAAUUUGAAGUAGAGCCAUGCUCAGCCUGGCAUAAUCAUGUAUUUAAAAGGCAUCUCAGUAAAUUAUUAGGAUUGUUUACAUGCAUGGUUUGAAUUUACUGGCAAAUUGCUUGGGCCUUGGUUUUAGGAUGUAGCUGCCGGCCAGGCUCCUUCUGGGUGAAAAUCUGAAAUAGGAGAAGUUGCCCUUUGCUGGCCCUCGCUGGCACUUCCUCUGCCUGGUUCCUGGCCUUUCAACACUUCCCUCCUUUCCCUGCCCUGAAUAACUCUGAGGGGCUGUCAAGCCCUUUGCACCUUCAUGUGAAGACGUUUCAUGGGUCCCUUCCCAGAUCUGCCCCCAACCAAGGUGAGGUGUGCAAAGAAAUAAAUCUUCAAUGGUAUAAUUUUAGAUGCUCUGGCAGCCAGAGAGGGCAGCUAUUUUGGGUUGUAGGGCUUUCUCCUUGACCUGAGGUGACACAGUUUUGCCUGUUGCUAGAGUAGCCAGCCAACCCUGCAUAGUGUCCCUUUUAGCAGCGUGUCUGUAGUUCCUAGGGUGGCUUCUUCAUUCCUCUGCUGAGGUCUGUGUUCAUCCGGAAUCUUGUAUUCUUAUACAGGGGCGCGACUCCAUUGACAGGGGCCACGUAGGCUUGUGGAAGCAUAACGCUCCAGCACACCCUUUGGAGACGGUGCCGAAGGAACAGACUCCCCUCCACGAAGAAGAUGGAGGAAAACUGGUGGUCCGGUUUCUGUGUGUCCUUCAGUCUCCAUUCUUUAUCAGCUGCUUGGCCGCCAUUCUGCUCCUGAUGCAGCUGCUAUCUGCAGACCUCCUGGACAGCCCAAGGAAGGGAGUGGGAGCUCCUGCUGCAGAUGGGUGGAACAGCGACCAGAAGGAUUGAAGGUGGCCAAAAAUAACAGUGCCUUCCAGAUGAGGAGACCUCAGAGCCAAGAGCAUCAUGGGCUAGUGGUCUGCCAAUCACAAGACAUCAAUCCCCGGCAUGCACAGUGCCCAGCAUCUCCUCCAGGUUCAGCUUUGACAUCUUCCUGCAGAGGGCUUACUCCAAUCUCUGGACUUUCAGGUGAGGUUCACUGUUCUAUCUUUGGUAAGCAUAUCCUCCAUUCCGUCAUCACUAAAAGCACUUUUUAUCUGGACCUUUAGUCUCUAAAUACCAACCAGGGUGGAAUUCACCUUUUAUCCUCAUGGAGGCUGCUUUUCUUUUCUCUUAGUACAAAGCCACAUAUAUCUACUGUGGAAAAUUUAGGACACACAGAAAAGCAAAUAUUAUAUUUAUAUUCACUGUUACUACCCUUUGAUGUGGGGCCCUUUCAACAUUCCCCUCUCCAUAUGAUGAUGAUUUUUUUUUUAUAGACAAAACGCGGCACCACUUCGAGGGGAAAUACUUUCUUCUCUGCCACUUGCUGGCUUGUAGAACCAGUUCUAUGGAACGUCAGUGCCAGGCCCCAGCUGACUGGAAUAGGGCUAGCUAUCUGGGCCUGGCUGGGUGUGUGUCUGUUCUUUCCUUGAGAUUAAAUCAGCUAGUAUCGGAGACUGGACCUGUAAUAUCUCACAGAGGUAGGAUUAGUCACUGUACCUGGAAAUUCAAAGCUUUGCUGGAGAAGGUGGUUUGCAGGAGAGAAUGGAGGAGACAGUGAGACUCCAAGGGAAAGUUAAAAGAGCAAGGUCUCUUUACACCUGGCACCAGUGUUUGCAAUGCAUUUUCUCAAGUGGCCUUGCCUCUGCCCUUGAGCAGUGUCUAUGGGAUUCAGAUAUUUCCAUCUAACAGUACCUCCCCAAGAUGGUUGCUUUUUGUAAACUGCCUUUGUAAUGAAUAAGAUACUACAAUUUUUCUGUGUAUCAUUUAUUCAUCCAGAUUAUAAUUUUGAGUGUGGUGGGACAGGUACUGUGAAUUCAUGAUUUUUUUUUUUUUUUGCGGGGGUGGGAGGAUGCACUUAAUGUGAGCAUCUUGAUCUCUGGGGUAGAACAGUGUUGGGUUCACAAACCCUUCCUCGUCUCCUUUGCUGUGUGAUUUGGAUGUAUUAAACGCUGUUUGUCUCAGUAGUUUCAUCUGUACAAUGGCAAAUCACAAGGCUAAAUUAUACAGGGAGUCUUAAAGUUCCUAGACUUAAACUUGAAAUAUAGCAGAGGAUGACUGCAAAUUCCUGAUUCUCCUGCUUCCAUUGCCCACGUGCUGGGUGAUCUGGUUCCUGGCCCAUUAUUACUAACCAUGAACCAGGUCUCUAGCAACAGUCCUCCUAUUUCCAACAUGAUAAACACAACUGUAAGAAUGCCUUCAGAGCUGAAGCUGUAUGCGUUAUUGCUCCUUGGACUAAGUGUCCCCACGUUGAAAUACUGGACCAGAGAUCAUGAGCAUGAAAAGUGCAUAACCAUGGGCCCCUGUGGUGGUUUGAAUAGGAAUGGCCCCCAUUGACUCAUGAAUUUGAAUGCUUGGCCCAU